rnacentral:lncRNA from 1 species
GUUGACUAAGGCGGGCACCCUGGGCCGAAGGCACAUGACUGUGAGCAGAUGGUCUGCACCAGUGGGGAGGAUGGGGAAAGGGCAGAGUUGGCCCAAGGCAGGAAAUGAACACUGGUUUCCCUGAGCUGCAGCCUGCCCGGAUCCUGCAGGUUAGGAAAUGCCCUGGCCCUGAAGCAUCCAGGAGUGGGAGAGGCUGUGUGGCCAAGCCACGUGUUCUGAGUCUGUCGGAGGAACACCUUUGCACGUCAGCAGGAAGCUGGCUUCCAGGACUUGGCUGGAACACUGCAGACUCAUUCAGAGAAUAAAGAAAAUCCAUCUGCCCACAAGGCCCCAUGCACCAGAACCACUGAGCUAAACCCCUGGCCCUCAGACUUGGAUUUGAAUCUGCUCUACACACAUGGCUCACCUAGAGCCUUAUCCUGGCACCAACCCCUUCCUGUCUCAGCUUCCUGGGAAUGACCAGCCUUCCUUUCCAGUAAAGGAAAAGACACUGGAACACAGGAACUGGGUGAGUUGUAAUUGUGUCUUGCUUUGGAUCAUAAAGAAGUGAGAAUGUUGUGCCUGAGAUGCACUGACUUCAUGCUUGCUAACAGGACAUUGGUCAUGACCGUGAAAGAGGCCCAGUGGCUGAUGUAACCCACUGCAUCUUGUGUCAUGCUAAGUCAUUCUCUCCUGUGGGCACCUUGGCUUCCAGGAGCUACAAAUCUGAUCGACAGAUAUUUUGUGACAAGACUCAAAGCCCCCCACCCCCCGCCCCGCCCCGCCCCAGGCAGCAGCAAC